AGCACUGCCUCUUUCUGCGAGACCAGGAAACAGCCCCGCUACAGCCCUACGCGCAGGGAAGCCGAAGGAGAAAGGUAGUCACGGCAGCACAUGGGCCUUUUUUCCCUUUCAAUAUUCCAAACUGCAUUGGCUGAACCAGAAAAUGACGCUGUCCAAACAGCUCACGAAAAUGUGUAAUCUCAACAUGAUAAUAUGCAUGUCUAAUAUCACUACAACAACAAAUGUCGACAAGAAACCGUAUCUCUGUUCCUUCAUUUGCCUCCAUUUUAGAACCUAAAAUGAAACUUCAAGCUAGACAACCCUAUAGAUAUUCAUUUUUGCUUCAAACCUCUUGCCUUGCAAACUGGCACCUCAGUGCAAAAGCAGCAAUACAGCACCUGGCUUGUCCUAAACUCCCCCUGCAUAGAAACCACCUGCACUGUUCAGAUGUGAUGCUUGAUACAUUGAGACACAAGAAGACUAGGAAAGGAAUGGACGUUACUCUGCAGUCCCCGAAUACUUUCAGCUUUUAUCUCCAAAUAGUAUUAGUCCCCAACUUUCAAAGACGGCUUACUGAAAAAUUAGUAUUUUGACAGAUACAUAAGUGUGCAAAAUCCUGGUCCCAACUAAAAGAGAGAUUGCCAUCAAC